UGACGCAAACUGUUUAUUUCC
rnacentral:piRNA from 1 species